rnacentral:rRNA from 1 species
GAUCAUUACUGAGUGUGGGCUCCGCCCCUACCUCCAACCCCAUGUCGAAACGACUCUGUUGCCUCGGGGGCGACCCGGCCUUCGGGCGUCGGGGCCCCCGGUGGACACCUUCAUAACUCUUGCAUCUCUUGCGUCUGAGUGAUACAUAUAAUCAAUCAAAACUUUUAACAACGGAUCUCUUGGUUCUGGCAUCGAUGAAGAACGCAGCGAAAUGCGAUAAGUAAUGUGAAUUGCAGAAUUCAGUGGAUCAUCGAAUCUUUGAACGCACAUUGCGCCCCCUGGCAUUCCGGGGGGCAUGCCUGUUCGAGCGUCAUUACACCACUCAAGCCUGGCUUGGUAUUGAGCGCCGCGGCCUGCCCGCGCGCUCCAAUGUCUCCGGCUGAGCCGUCCGUCUCUAAGCGUUGUGAAUAGCGAUCGCUUGCGAGGCCCGGGCGGCUCGACGCCGUUAAACCCCCCAUUUUCUAUGGUUGACCUCGGAUCAGGUAGGGAUACCCGCUGAACUUAAGCAUAUCAUAGGCCGGAG